rnacentral:rRNA from 1 species
UCCUACGGGGCGCAGCAGUGAGGAAUAUUGGUCAAUGGGCGCAAGCCUGAACCAGCCAAGUCGCGUGAGGGAAGACGGCCCUACGGGUUGUAAACCUCUUUUGUCAGGGAGCAAAGGGCGCCACGUGUGGCGUUUUGCGAGUACCUGAAGAAAAAGCAUCGGCUAACUCCGUGCCAGCAGCCGCGGUAAUACGGAGGAUGCGAGCGUUAUCCGGAUUUAUUGGGUUUAAAGGGUGCGUAGGCGGUCCGUUAAGUCAGCGGUAAAAUUGCGGGGCUCAACCCCGUCGAGCCGUUGAAACUGGCAGC